UAUUUUUAUAUUCUUAGUAAUUGAUAUUAGUACAUAUUUGAAUAAAGUUAUAUUGUUAGCUUAUUAAUUACAUUCUGUAAUUAAGGAUUAGUAUUAUGUGUUAUUCUAUUUUAACUUAUUGACAUGGACUAUUGACGGACGAAUUCUAUUCUUAUGGUUUGGUUAAGUCUGAUUUCACUGUAGUUAUCACUUUAUUUUCACGGUUGAUUUGACCGCUUUCGGACAAUUCUACUAUUGGUCAGUACUUUUGGCGGUUUAAUUCUUUUGUUCGAUAUCUUAUGGGAAGACAUCUUGUGGUCAACACCUAUAUUUACCUGCCUGCAAAUUAACAACUUUAUAAAUUAAUCUAUAACAAUUCUGUGAUUGGAGUUUCAUUUAUAAGGUAUAUUUAAACCUUACUGUACUAAAGAUGUAGUGUAUAAUAUUGUUUAUAUGGAAAUGUGCCACUUGCACGAUAUGUGAGGGCUUUAUUUACAUUACCAUUACUUCGUUAGUCUGAAAUAAAAGUUACAGAACCCUAUUCAGAAGUUUAGUUAUUAUUUACUGAAAGCCUCAAGAAACCGGCUUUUACAUUGGCGCCCA